rnacentral:rRNA from 1 species
AGAAUCAACGCUGGCGGCGUGCCUAACACAUGCAAGUCGAACGAGAAAGUGGAGCAAUCCAUGAGUACAGUGGCGCACGGGUGAGUAACACGUGACUAACCUACCCUUGAGUGGGGGAUAACCUAGGGAAACCUGGGCUAAUACCGCAUAAUACCUUACGGGUCAAAGGAGCAAUUCGCUUUAGGAGGGGUCGCGGCCCGAUUAGUUAGUUGGCGGGGUAAUGGCCCACCAAGACUGUGAUCGGUA